rnacentral:siRNA from 1 species
AGGAAGUGGGCGCACACCAACGG